rnacentral:rRNA from 1 species
AGGGAAUCUUCCGCAAUGGACGAAAGUCUGACGGAGCAACGCCGCGUGAGUGAUGAAGGUUUUCGGAUCGUAAAGCUCUGUUGCCAGGGAAGAACGUCUUGGAGAGUAACUGCUCUAAGAGUGACGGUACCUGAGAAGAAAGCCCCGGCUAACUACGUGCCAGCAGCCGCGGUAAUACGUAGAGGGCGAGCGUUGUCCGGAAUUAUUGGGCGUAAAGCGCGCGCAGGCGGCUGUUUAAGUCUGGUGGUUAAUCCUGGGGCUCAACCCCGGGUCGCACUGGAAACUGGACGGCUUGAGUGCAGAAGAGGAGAGUGGAAUUCCACGUGUAGCGGUGAAAUGCGUAGAGAUGUGGAGGAACACCAGUGGCGAAGGCGACUCUCUGGGCUGUAACUGACGCUGAGGCGCGAAAGCGUGGGGAGCAAAC